GACCUCAUGGUACUUACCACAAGCAGUGUUCUUAUACUGACCAUAUAGAAAGAGGAGACAAAGUAAAUCUACACCAUGUAUAUCUCAGCCAGGCCCUGUGCCUGGUCUGUAUUGUGAAAGGGGAGACAUGG
rnacentral:snoRNA from 1 species